GUUUUAAUAAAACAAACAAACAACAAUCAUUUUUUAUUAUUGAGCACGCUGGUGGCUAUUAGCCUCAAUUAGCCGCAAAUAAAAGUCAGGAACUGUAGAAUUGGAAAAGUCGUUCGGGAUUAACGAGCAUGCAUGAAAACGAUACGUGCAGUGUCUCUCUUCUGAUAAUAUGUGAGGCUCUGUUGUGAGCUGGUAUUCUGCUGGCUCGGACGGUUCGAUCUUAAACCGGAAGCCACAUUAUAACCAAGACAACCAAGACUAUCGCCAGUAACCACAACAUUAAACCCUAAGCUUUAAUCUCAGCUUUAUUUAGCGGUAAAAGCUACAGCCGGGUCUAUAGGAGAUUAACAGACGAUCUUUCUCCAGUGAACGUGUUAAUUUGAUAGCUCUCCGGCAUCGAAAUGGAAAAUGGAGCAGCAUGCACGCAUAUUUACACGUACAGCAGUAUAGCUGUGCAGUAAGUAGUCAACUGUGUGUUAAAUCUCUCUUUAUUUUUAUUUAUAGUGCUCGAGAAACUGCAUUAGUAUAGUUAAGUUAUGUAUAGAAGCUAUAAGCUAGCACAAUCCAAGGCGUAGAUGCUGCACUGAUAGCGAGUCCACGACUCGACUAGUUUAACUUGUGUCCAGUAUAAAACACGCCUGCUUUUUUUUUCAUUUUAUGUUGAUCGUGUGUGAGUGUGUGUGUGUGUGCUAUUCGCAGGUGAUGCAGACACGAACCGAGAAGUUGAGGCAUAGAGAGUAGAGCGGGAUAGGAGUGGACGUUGCUGGGUGGACGUCUUCAAAAAAUCAGGAAGUGGAUCAGCACGUAUAUCGCCUCGUAGGGGGUCGCAAUUUCUAAUGCUACGGUGUACUAGACUACAUUACGCUAUCCACUGCACUAGGACUCUCUCCUCGGCUGAAAAAGGAUGACGAUGCGUCUUUCUCUUUAUGCGGCUCAGAAAGACCUCAAGAGAGAGGAAGAAAUUUUAUUAUUUUACUUUGCAUACGCAAAUGUGACUUUGGUCGAGAGAUUGAUGUAUCCAGUAUCAUUUUAUUCAUCCAAAGUCGGACUUAUAGAGAUCGAGUAGUCUUCGCUUUCAUCGCGGAACAGCCAGAGCGAGCUAAUAUGAAACUGAAACUAGAUCGACCGGAUGUUCUCUACUGGCUCGUCCUGAUGGGAUUUUAAAUUUCCCGAUAUGUUUGUAUACACGCACAUACAUUGAAACCAUCGCUCGGACUAAUGCCGAGCUACUAUUUAAUGACAUCGAUGAUACCUUAUACCUUCUACGUCGCUUCUAACUUCAUUAAACGGCUGACAUUUAAAUCGUUACCGCUUACAAGUUUAAAUAACCCAUGUUACAAACCUUGCUCUUAUAUACAUAAAUAUAAAGAGUAAAGUAAGAUGCAGCAAGAGCUGAAAGAGCAGACUGUCGAGUGUCCUCGCGGAUAUGUCGGUUAGCAGUUUCCUGGGAGAGUUGUCUUGUCAGCGUCCUUGGAGCCGUUACACUCCCUGU